UGUAUGCACUUACGUAAGUCGCUCUGGAUAAGAGCAUCUGCUAAAUGACUAAAA
rfam:Salmo salar isolate Sally breed double haploid chromosome ssa02, whole genome shotgun sequence.